GUCCUACGGGGCGCAGCAGUGGGGAAUAUUGCACAAUGGGGGAAACCCUGAUGCAGCGACGCCGCGUGGGUGAAGAAGUACUUCGGUACGUAAAGCCCUAUCAGCAGGGAAGAAAAUGACGGUACCUGAUUAAGAAGCCCCGGCUAACUACGUGCCAGCAGCCGCGGUAAUACGUAGGUGGCAAGCGUUGUCCGGAUUUACUGGGUGUAAAGGGCGUGUAGCCGGGCUGACAAGUCAGAUGUGAAAUCCGGGGGCUCAACCCCCGAACUGCAUUUGAAACUGUUGGUCUUGAGUAUCGGAGAGGC
rnacentral:rRNA from 1 species